GAUGAACGCUAGCGGCAGGCUUAACACAUGCAAGUCGAGGGGUAUAGGUUUUCGGACCUAGAGACCGGCGCACGGGUGCGUAACGCGUAUGCAAUCUACCUUUCACAGAGGGAUAGCCCAGAGAAAUUUGGAUUAAUACCUCAUAGUAUAGCAGUUUCGCGUGAAACCACUAUUAAAGUUCCAACGGUGAAAGAUGAGCAUGCGUCCCAUUAGCUAGAUGAUAAGGUAACGGCUUACCAUGGCUACGAUGGGUAGGGGUCCUGAGAGGGAGAUCCCCCACACUGGUACUGAGACACGGACCAGACUCCUACGGGAGGCAGCAGUGAGGAAUAUUGGUCAAUGGACGCAAGUCUGAACCAGCCAUGCCGCGUGCAGGACGACGGUCCUAUGGAUUGUAAACUGCUUUUGUACGAGAAGAAACAACAUUACGUGUAAUGUCUUGACGGUAUCGUAAGAAUAAGGAUCGGCUAACUCCGUGCCAGCCGCCGCAGUAAAAC
rnacentral:rRNA from 1 species